CACCCGGCAUGAUUUGAGUGUAACACAGGAAGUCCGUCUGUCCAGCCGUUGUUUUCGGCGUAAUAUCAACUUUUGACAGAGAAAAAUCAGCGCUGCUGUAGAAACUCUGCCAGUGAUUUUGCGUCAGGGAAGUCAUUGACGUGAAUGAAGGAGCCAUUGGGAAUAAACUGCUCAUAGUUUUCUCUUGGUGGACCCAUAACUACAGGGACCGACCCUGCAACGAGGGGCCCGUUUACCUUUUCUACAAAGUAGUCCUUGUGGAGCGAGUUCUCAAAUGAGAGUGCUCGCAGCAUUGUUACUGACAAUCCAACACAACAGAUUGUUUUUCUUGGGCAGAACAAAGAUGUCCUUCAUCUCUUCUUUCUUGACAGUCACCUCAUUCCUCACCACAAUGCCAGCGUCUCGUCUGUAGCUCAGUGUUAAGUUGAACAGAUUUUCCAAACCUGGUAUCUUCAGUGUGUUUGUCGGCGAUUCCACGUGGAACCAAAUCCAUUUCUGAAAAGAUGGACGUGGGAGCUGAGGCAUGUUUGUUAAAUCCCAUGCAACAUUUUUAUGGAAGAUAAUGACUCCCUCUGCUUUGCUGUACAUGGAUCUAUCAUCAGUCAGUAUGCAGCUACUAAUGUUGAAGUAGGUUGAGCAGAUUUUGAAAUCAAACCUCACAUCAAGUGGCCAGAACCACAGCAGGACGAUGGGCUUUUCAGUGCCGUCAGAGUUUUUUUCAUCAGCUACUGUAGACGUAGAUGGAUACAAAGGAGGUGAUGGCGCAAAAAAAACCAAGAAUGCAAUAACAGAGCAGGCAAGGCAAGCAAUUGUCAUUGCCAUAUACAGAGUUUUUCUGAAGGCUGCCAUCUGUGGAGACAAAACAGAAAACAUUGUGAACUUUUUGACUGCAACAUCAUGCCUUGAUGACAUUAUGCCGCUUUUCCACUACAUGGUCCCAGCACGACUCGCCUUGGCACAGCAUGUUUGUUUUUUUUUUGCUUUUUUAUUAGCAACACCUGGUACCUGGUCUACUGAGUGCCGUCACUGGAAGAAACAUGAGGAAGACGUCCAACACAAGAAUCAAACCAAACCCGUUGAUCAAUUGAAAAGAAUCAUGAUUAAUCACGUUAAUCUCCAACAUUUAGCAUGGAAAUGUCUAAAAUCUCAAUAUUUAUCC